GUCCCUAUAGACACUGCCUUCCUUGCUAACAGAUAUUCUUGUAUAUGCCUUGAGCUCUAUACCAGAAGGCUCGUUAUGGGAAAGGUUCUAUUGGGUUGGUGCCAGAUUCCGGUCACCGACAUUGGGUUCCCGCCGGAGGGUUCAGUUAGGCACCUGAGUUACCGGAUACGGGCCAGAGAUGGUACGAGAGGGCACGGGAUUGUGAAUCUUGCCAUAAAGUUAACAGGUUUUCCAUCGGUAGGAAGUCAAAGAUUAUCGGAUUCAAAUAAUCAAAAAGUUUCAGAAGCUGGUCAGACAGUGAUUGGCAUUCCGGUGACAGUCUUUUCACAUUUAAACAUUUGUCAAAGAUAGUUAGAUUUCAUUAGUUAGUAGAUAGAGAAAAUUAAUGAAGUUGGAAAAUCCGGGCCAAGAUGUGAUUGAACCAACACAAAUGGAAUGGUUGGGUUUUCAUCGCCAGUAAUUGAGCAAUGCUAUCAACUCCCUAAAGAGGGAUUAGAUUCUAUUUUGUUUUUCUGAUCUAUUUUUGUUUUUGUGGCUAAUACAAAAUUUAAAAUUUCUCUUGAGUUUGUAAUCUCUCAUGUUAAUUACGGUUUGAAUUUUAGAACUAGAGUAUAAAUCAAGUAUUAUAUUUAAAA
rnacentral:misc_RNA from 1 species